rnacentral:lncRNA from 1 species
CAGAACUAAUCGACUUUUAUUCGGAUGAACGACCAAGAUUUAAAUUGGUUCUUAAAGAACCUAUUCUUACAUAGUAUUAUGUAAUUCUAUUGAUUAUUAUUUAAUUUUACUAUAAGAAUGAAGUUGUUUAAACUUCACUAUCAUUCAAAAUUAAAAAAGGAAUAUGCAAAAGCAUAUUCCUCUUCCACCACGACAAUCGGCUCCUCCUCCGGGCAGUCCUCGCACAUCUCCACCAAGCAUCCUUGUUCCAUCCAUCCGAAAUAAUUUUCCCUUGCAACGGUGGCCCAGAGAAAAUGCUUCGUAAUAAUUGAAGCAUAAUCCCUUGGUUGUCUAAAUGCGUCGCUCCUCGACCGUCAAAAUUUUCCGCAUGAUUUGUAGUGCCCGUGUUGUGUCCGGUGGGGUUUUAAUCAAUGGACCAGUAUUAGCCGCUUCUGUGCUCGGCCGAUACGGUGUCCGCCACGCGAAGUGUCACCGACCCAGGUGCGCUUCAUACACCUUUGCUGCCGAAAAUGUUUAUCGCAAUGUGGUUGGCUUCAAUAUCUUCAGCUCACUUUUUAACUCUAGUUUCAAUCCUCCAACGAAGUAAGUGAUCAAUGUUUGCUCGAACUGCUCAUCCACAUGUUCAUCAAAUCUUCAAAUUUAUUCAGGUACUCCUCCAGCGACGACGACUGCUGUAGGUGUGACAAUUCUUCGAGUUUAUUCUCAUACUCGGCUUUCCCAAACUGCUCUCUCAUAUCCUCCAUGAAUCGUUUCCCGGUUGAAAUUAAUUUAUUAUGACGGAGUCCUCUGAUUCAGGUGAGCGCCUUCCCGGUCAUGUGGAACCCGGCGAUUUGCACUUUCCCCUCCUCGCCUAUACCGUAGUAGGCGAAAUACUCCCCGGCUUGAUACAGCCAUCCUUCCGGAUGAUCGCCGGAGAAUCGUGGGAAAUCCAACUUUAUCGCUCUCAGUUUGACGUGCGAUGAUUCACCUCUAAACGGAUCGAAGAAAGUCCCACUUCAAUCACCUUCCUUCGUCAUCUUUAAUACACUUUCAGCAACCGCUGUAAUUGCCGCGUUUUGUUAUUGUGUCACCUCCGUUUGACGAGUUGUUUGUUCCGCUAUGAUUACUCCCAAAGCUAGGCGAAUAUCCUCCAAGGUCUCCUCCUUAUUUUCUGUUUCACUGUUCAUGAUCACCAAAUUACAGAAAACAAUAUUUCAAAGAAGGAAAUAACAAAUUCAAUUAAGAAUUGAACACGUUCCUGAUCAGGAUCUACUUUAGGCGUAGAACAAGCCCUGGAAUGAUUUUGAAUGUUUUGAGUCGUUACCGACUGUUGAUCCCUAAGCGUCCGUGCGAGAACUCAAAGAAAGCACCAAUGUAACACUCUUCGGUGAGAGCCGAAGAUGAAAUCCCAAGGAUGGGCCGGAGGUUGGAAGUUUUGGAGGAGCCGGAGGCAAGAUAGAUUGUUGUUUU